rnacentral:rRNA from 1 species
GAUGAACGCUGGCGGCGUGCUUAACACAUGCAAGUCGAACGAAGCACCUUGAUUUGAUUCUUCGGAUGAAGAUCUUGGUGACUGAGUGGCGGACGGGUGAGUAACGCGUGGGUAACCUGCCUCAUACAGGGGGAUAACAGUUAGAAAUGACUGCUAAUACCGCAUAAGACCACAGUACCGCAUGGUACAGGGGUAAAAACUCCGGUGGUAUGAGAUGGACCCGCGUCUGAUUAGGUAGUUGGUGGGGUAACGGCGGACCAAGCCGACGAUCAGUAGCCGACCUGAGAGGGUGACCGGCCACAUUGGGACUGAGACACGGCCCAAACUCCUACGGGAGGCAGCAGUGGGGAAUAUUGCACAAUGGGGGAAACCCUGAUGCAGCGACGCCGCGUGAGCGAUGAAGUAUUUCGGUAUGUAAAGCUCUAUCAGCAGGGAAGAAAAUGACGGUACCUGACUAAGAAGCACCGGCUAAAUACGUGCCAGCAGCCGCCGUAAUAC